UACAGAGGGGGCAAGCGUUAAUCGGAAUUACUGGGCGUAAAGCGCGCGGAGGCGGUUUGUUAAGUUGGAUGUGAAAGCCCCGGGCUCAACCUGGGAACUGCAUCCAAAACUGGCAGGCUAGAGUACGGGAGAGGGGGGUGGAAUUCCCUGUGUAGCGGUGAAAUGCGUAGAUAUAUGAAGGAACACCGGUGGCGAAGGCGACCACCUGGACUGAUACUGACACUGAGGUGCGAAAGCGUGGGGAGCAAACAGG
rnacentral:misc_RNA from 1 species